GUGAGCGUGGCAUAGUGGCCGUGCACCAGCCUUCCAAGCUGGCGACGCGAGUUCGAUUCUCGCCGUUCACUCCA
rnacentral:tRNA from 1 species